UACGUAGGGUGCGAGCGUUGUCCGGAAUUAUUGGGCGUAAGGAGCUCGUAGGCGGUCUGUCGCGUCGGUCGUGAAAACCUGCAGCUUAACUGUGGGCGUGCGGUCGAUACGGGCAUGACUGGAGUUCGGCAGGGGAGACUGGAAUUCCUGGUGUAGCGGUGAAAUGCGCAGAUAUCAGGAGGAACACCGGUGGCGAAGGCGGGUCUCUGGGCCGAUACUGACGCUGAGGAGCGAAAGCGUGGGGAGCGAACAGG
rnacentral:rRNA from 1 species